rnacentral:rRNA from 1 species
UGAAUACGAGACGCUAAGGCGUCGAAGUAGUGUAUGUCAUACUUCCAAGAAAAGCUUGCACUGUCAUAGAUAAAAAACGCCUGUACCAUAACCGACACAGGUGGGUAGGUAGAGUAUACUAAGGGGCGCGAGAUAACUCUCUCUAAGGAACUCGGCAAAAUAACUCCGUAACUUCGGGAGAAGGAGUGCCUUAUUAUUAAGGCUGCAAUAACAAGAUCCAAGCAACUGUUUAUCAAAAACACAGGUCUCCGCUAAGUCGUAAGACGAUGUAUGGGGGCUGACGCCUGCCCAGUGCCAGAAGGUUAAAGAAGUUGGUUAGCAUUUGCGAAGCUGAUAACUGAAGCCCUGGUGAACGGCGGCCGUAACAAUAACGGUCCUAAGGUAGCGAAAUUCCUUGUCGGGUAAGUUCCGACCCGCACGAAAGGCGUAAUGAUUUGGAUACUGUCUCGGAGAGGGGCUCGGUGAAAUAGACUUGUCUGUGAAGAUGCGGACUACCUGCACCAGGACAGAAAGACCCUAUGAAGCUUUACUGUAACUUGAAAUUGAAAUUGGACUUUAUUCGCGCAGCAUAGGUGGGAGGCGUUGAUUAUAAUCUUGUGGGAUUAUUGGAGCCAUCAGUGAGAUACCACUCUUGUAAUGUUAGAUUUCUAACUUUGAAUCAUUAUCUGGUCAAAGAACAGUUUCAGGCGGGCAGUUUGACUGGGGCGGUCGCCUCCUAAACGGUAACGGAGGCGUACAAAGGUUUCCUCUGAACGGUUAGAAAUCGUAUCUAGAGUGUAAAGGCAUAAGGAAGCUUGACUGUGAGACCUACAAGUCGAGCAGGGACGAAAGUCGGUCUUAGUGAUCUGACGGUACUGAGUGGAAAGGCCGUCACUCAACGGAUAAAAGUUACUCUAAGGAUAACAGGCUGAUCUCCCCCAAGAGUUCACAUCGACGGGGAGGUUUGGCACCUCGAUGUCGGCUCAUCGCAUCCUGGGGCGGUAGUACGUCCCAAGGGUUGGGCUGUUCGCCCAUGAAAGCGGUACGCGAGCUGGGUUCAGAACGUCGUGAGACAGUUCGGUCCAUAUCCGGUGUAGGCGUUAGAAUAUUGAGAGGAGCCUUCUUUAGUACGAGAGGACCGAGAAGGACAUACCUCUGGUGUACCAGUUAUCGUGCCAACGGUAAACGCUGGGUAGCUAUGUAUGGAGUGGAUAACCGCUGAAAGCAUCUAAGUGGGAAGCCCACCUCAAGAUAAGUAUUCU